ensembl:lncRNA
CAGACAUUGAAGAGGUCCAUUGGCAAGACCCUUGAUGGACAACAGGAGAGGUGGGAAGACAAAUUAAAAUAAAUGUUUUUUUCAAAUAACUGUUGUGUCCAAGCCUCUUCCAGGUUUUCACCCUAUCGUCUGAUGAAUGAACGGGAGCCACGUCUAUUUUCAGAGACCACUGGAGUUCUUCCAGAUGAUGUGGACAUUCCUUCUCCAGAUAACGAGGACAUUGAGAAGUACGUCCAGGCAAGGGCUGAGAGCGAUGGAAAGGUCAUUGACAAGGUGAUUGCCAACAUAGAAAAGGCCCAGGAGAGACAGAAAGAGGCAUACAAGAGGAGGACCAAGAGCGGGACCAAGCGCUUCAGGAUCACACCAGGCAUGGAGGUCCUGAAGAAAAAUGAGAGGAAGCGUGAAAGGCAUGGUCAAACCAUGGAGCCAGAUUGGCCAAAUGUGUUCAGGGUUACUGAGGUUACGGACAAUAACCUUGUGCAGCUGGAGACAUUGGAUGGAAAGCCAUUGAAGACCAGGACACCCUAUGCUUCAGUGUAGCCUGUGCGGAGAAGAUCCCAGGCUGCCUGGCCCACCAAGGAGACUGUGUCCAAUCUAUCUGAGACUGAGUCAGCAGAUUCAGAGUUGGAGGAGGACCCAGUAGAGGACUUGGAUGUUGUCAUCACUAGUGUCCAGCCAGGCCGGGCUUAUCGAGCUUCACUGAGCAAAAGGGUGGAGGACUUCAGGGCCAUGCUCAGCAACCCAAGUACUUGGUUGGAUGACCAUGCUAUGGACCAUGCUCAGGCCCUGCUUAAGGCCAAGUACCCCAACGUCAACGGGCUCUACGCCACCACCUCCCUAGUCUUGCUGUCCACUUUGCCCGAGCCAGCACAAGGGACACACCAGGACAGAGGUCUUCAUUGAACAGGUCACAGGUCUGCUUGCUUUUCCAGGGAAGAGUGUCCGACAGCAGUGGCCGGACAUACAGCAGCAGGCUGGAGAAGUGCAACUCUUCCCUAGAGCCAUGAGGUCCCCCACUGCCGAGCCAUUCGCCAUUGAUGUGGAUGUGCACUGCCUCUGCAGACGGACCAUCGGGCAAGGAAAAGCACCUCUGGUCCCAUGCAGGAGACAUCGUGACAGGAAGAGUUUACCAUGCAGGGGCCAAAGAAAACCAGGGUCAUCAAGAAUCAGCAUAUUCUGGAAGUGUGGUGCAUCAACCUGAACCUGGAACAAGCUAGACCUGUCACUCAGCGCUUAUAAAUGACAUGCAUCAAGAAACUGCAUUAUCACCUUUUUCAUUUUAUAUUGAAGCAUGAUCAUUACAUAUAAGAUUGUUGUCAAUGUUAGUUGUAUAUCUGAGGCAAAUAAUUGAAUGUUAUUCAUAUG